UACGUAGGGUGCAAGCGUUAAUCGGAAUUACUGGGCGUAAAGCGUGCGCAGGCGGUUAUGUAAGACAGAUGUGAAAUGCCCGGGCUUAACCUGGGAACUGCAUUUGUGACUGCAUGGCUAGAGUUUGGCAGAGGGGGUAGAAUCCACGUGUAGCAGUGAAAUGCGUAGAUAUGUGGAGGAACACCGAUGGCGAAGGCAGCCCCCUGGGUCAAGACUGACGCUCAUGCACGAAAGCGUGGGGA
rnacentral:rRNA from 1 species